rnacentral:lncRNA from 10 species
AAAUGGUUAAAAUAGUAAAUUUUAUGUUAUACAUAUUUUGUCAUAAUAAAGUUUGCAUUUAGAAAAAAAAAAUUUCUUUCAAACAGAGUCUCACUCUGUCACCCAGGCUGGAGUGCAGUGGCAUCAUCUCGGCUCACUGCAACCUCUGCCUCCCAGGUUCAUUCUUUCUGCCUCAGCUUCCUGAGUAGCUGGAAUUACAGGCAUGCAUCACCACAACCAGCUAAUUUUUGUAUUUUUAGUAGAAAUGGGGUUUUGCCAUUUUGGCCAGGCUGGUCUCGAACUUCUGACCUCAAGUGAUCCACCCAGCUCAGCCUCCCAAAGUGCUGGGAUUACAGGCGUGAGCAACCAUACCCGGCUUAGG